AUGGGGUCAAUCUCAUGGGUAGAAACUGAUGCUGGUGGAUGGGUGCCUGAAGCUCUGGGUCAGGUAGGAAAUGGGUCACCAAGGCAGGGAGGAGAUGAGGCAUGGGAUGGACAUGUGGGGUGGGUUCCUGGUGCUGCCUUUCUGAACUCUGUUUUUUUCUCUAACUCUUAUCGCAGAGUGGCAUAUUUACUGGAAAAGAGAGAGCAGGUGCUGGGGGUAUCUGCCAUGUUUGUGCUCUGUUAUUUUUAUGCCGAGAACCUGAAGUUGGAGAAGAGGCAUCAGGAAGAAGAAGGUGGUGUCUCCACAUUUUUAAGCAAAUGGAAGUUGUGAAGCUGCCAAGUAGCCCUGAAACCUCUUUAUCCUUGAAAGGAUACACUGCACCAAAGGGAAGGAAGGAAUUAGUCAGAAACCACAGAGCAAUUAAUGGCUGAAUCAACCUGUAUAAAGUGUUGCCUAGUAGACAACCCACUACAUUCCAACUCAUUUGGGAAUGUCCAAAGAAAAAAGCACAUGGAAACCUCUUUGGUUGGCCAAAAUGAACCAAAACCAAGUGCCACGGUGUGUGUGUGUGUGUGUGUGUGUGUGUGUGUGUGUGUGUGAGAGAGAGAGAGAGAGAGAGAAUAUGAGCUUUCCAUUUCCAUAUGUGGCAUUGAUUUUUCUUUAGUGUAGGAAAAAUUGUGUAGAAUAUUAGAAUAAUUAACAAAGGUCACUGUAUUCUCAUGCCAAAAAAGAAAAAUCUACAUAAAUAUUUGCCAUCUGUAAUGACUAGUCUAAGUAUCUACCUAAAGGAAGACAAAGGGUCAGAUAAAAUCCUUCCUUUAGUUGGGGGAUGCUAGUUCAUUUCUGUGCAUUUGCAACCCAUGGAAAAAAUCUCCUCAUGGGACCCCUUGGAAUUGUCAGUCUCCUCCUGUGAAGUCUUAUCCAUCCCUCUAGGCAGAAGAGACUGCCUAAGUGACGAAAGAUGCAAGAAAGCACAUGCCACAAGAAUGCAAGUCCUCCUCCAGGCAAAUAACUCAAUAAACCCCAAACAGCAGGCUCUGGAGCUUGUCUU
rnacentral:lncRNA from 12 species